GAUGAACGCUGGCGGCGUGCCUAAUACAUGCAAGUCGAGCGAACAGACGAGGAGCUUGCUCCUCUGACGUUAGCGGCGGACGGGUGAGUAACACGUGGAGAACCUACCUAUAAGACUGGGAUAACUUCGGGAAACCGGAGCUAAUACCGGAGAAUAUAUUGAACCGCAUGGUUCAAUAGGGAAAGACGGUUUUGCUGUCACUUAUAGAUGGAUCCGCGCCGCAGUAGCUAGUUGGUAAGGUAAUGGCUUACCAAGGCGACGAUGCGUAGCCGACCUGAGAGGGUGAUCGGCCACACUGGAACUGAGACACGGUCCAGACUCCUACGGGAGGCAGCAGUAGGGAAUCUUCCGCAAUGGGCGAAAGCCUGACGGAGCAACGCCGCGUGAGUGCUGAAGGUCUUCGGAUCGUAAAACUCUGUUAUUAGGGAAGAACAAAUGUGUAAGUAACUAUGCACGUCUUGACGGUACCUAAUCAGAAAGCCACGGCUAACUACGUG
rnacentral:rRNA from 1 species